CGUCUGGCGUCUAUCCCGACAUAACAUUGACACGACAAGUCACUCAGGAAGUCGUACGUGUGCGAAGAUAAUUCAUUAAUGUGAACGAACUAUUUAGAUAUAGCUUUUCAAAAGCGCUCAUCGCGAUAAUACGUCCGGUAUAUUUCAGCAGGUUCAUUAGUUAGUAGCGUUUGACGCAGAACAGUAACUAAACUUGAAAUUCAGUUUAUUUAGUUGGAACAGUGAUGAUACACUUGUGCCGCACGCCCUACGAUUUUUUUUGUCGUGUUUUUUGCCUACCAUUAAUACAAUUUUAGAGAAACUGUCAACAACACAUCUACUUCACAGAAAUGUAUCAAUUAGUGGGGGGCGAACACUGCCAUAAAACGAAAUAAUAAUAACAAAUGCAAGACCGCAAAAAAUUUGUGGUAAUUUUUGAAAAGAUCAGUAAAGAUAGUGGUACAUUGAUACUACAACAAACGUAUGUUGUUUGAAUGACACGAAAUAUGGGUCUAUAUGCAUUAACACUUUGUUUGACGCAUGCCCUAGCGUUUUACUAGCAAACGAAAUCGAAAAAGUGUUUCCUUUCAUGUUUGAGAACUGUGCGGUACAGCACAAUUUGUUCAGCUGGUUUCAAAAGUUGAUAUUCUUAUUGACUGGACGUGAAAUUCGGCUUAUGUUAAAUGCGAACCUUUUGUUCUGUGUCAACAAAAUAAGUCAUGAACUACUCUGGGAGAACAAUUGUGUGUGUAUUAUUCUCUUUUACGUAUUUGAUACUGGACUCUAUCCCCAACCCUUGUACUUUACUUAUCAGAUUUGAUAAGAUGUAGUGCAACAGAUGUAAGUGGCACGAUAUUUUAUUAUAGAAAUAGGUUUGUAAUAGCCUUUACUAUAUAAAGACCAGAUUCCUUGAUUAAAGUAUGUAAAAUUCAAACUCUGAAAAGGUGAAAUCACUCUCGCUGCCUGCAAAUUUCUGUCAUUCCUCCUUAAAAUAAAGAAGUGGCUUUGGAAGUACAUGGUAGUGUGAGGAACUUGCAAUUGAAACUUUUAUGGCAGCUACAAACAGCUCACAUGCAAACUUGGCAAGGAAUUUCCAAAACAGAGAGCUGCCAGGAACAGCAUAUGGCAUUUUAAAUAUUCACAAACUGACCAAGAGUAGACGAAAUGAGAAGUCUUGAGAUAUGGAAGUAACUUCUCUGCAGCAGUGACAAGUCAGCAGGUCAGGACGCAUCCAAACAUCCAUAGGACUGUAUGAAAACCCAAGCGGCGCGUGUAUACGUGUCUGCAGCACCUGGGGAACAGCGUAGUAGGAUGUGUACACAAGA